ACCUCCACAGACAUCCCCCAGGCACAGCCGCUCCCGGCAGCAGAGUUGGGCCCAGAGUCCACCUGUCCGGUCCAGGCGUGACAGCAGCAGCAGGACAGGAGUGAGGGCUGAGAGACCCAGGCAAAGGGAGACACCUCCAAGGACAUCUCCCAGACACCGCCGCUCCCGGCAGCAGGGUUGGGCCCAGAGUCAACGUGUCCGGUCCAGGAGUCGGCGUGACAGCAGCAGCAGCAGGACAGGGCUGAGGGCUGAGGGGCCCAGGCCGGGGGAGACAUGGUCAGGGACGUCCCCCAGACGCAGCCGGUCCCGCCUGCAGCGCCGCGCCUCGGAUCCACCUGUGCAGUCCAGGAGUGGCCAGGACAGCAGCAGGAGGACAGCAGCGCAUGCUGAGAGUCCAAGGCGCAGGGGGACACCGUCGGGGACGUCCCGCAGGAGCAGCCGCUCCCGCCAGCGACGUCGGGCCUCAAGUGGCACCUCCAACAGCAGCACGUAGCGCCAUCUUUUCUUUCUAGUCCAUGGGUUCGCUGCCGGAAGUGAAGGUGAGAACGGUCAGCACAGGGCCCCUGAGAUUUGCAGGUCUGUGAGAAAACCCUGUUAGCUCUUGACAUUUCUACCGGCAGGAAAGAGGUCUGUGCUAAAUACCUUGAUUUCUGUGUAACCCUGUAUUCAGUGACAAGUCCCUUAAGGAUGUGGCUAAUGGAAAAGGACUCUUGCUCCUGCCUUUAGACUCCAGCCUCAGAUGUUUCCCCACUGCUUAGCCUUGAAAGUGAACCACUCCUUAAUGGGCUUGGGUCCGGUUAGGGAGACGUUCAGAGCAAGGUGGCUCCUGAGGAAGCUGUCUUUGGAAAGGACGUGUGCUGUGUUGCUAUCCUUGAGCAAUCUCCCUUCAGGAAAGCCAAAAGGAAGAAGAAAGAAGAGAGUGAGACACUGUCUCAAGUGUCUGAAGAAAACAAUUCCAAUGUUGCUGCUGAUUUGAAAGACUUGAUUGGACCUUCAAAGAACAAAGCAGUAAAGAGUGUGGAAAUACCCUGGGACAAAGAGGACGCACAGGACUCUGGCCCAGAUGACCAUUUGGGACCUUUGACUGAGAAGGACGCAGCUCAGGAGUGGAGUGCUUUCAAGUUUUCCUUCUUUGGAGACACAGAGCAGUUGGGCAUCAAAGAAGGAAUUCGGGAAGGCAUGCUUUGAGAAGGCAUUGGGUACUUUGCAAAAUGGUGGAAAAGCUUGUUGUCAUGCCCUGAAUUCCUCAAAGAGGGAAAAAGGUAACAUACCAGUCAUAUCAAGUUUCAUAGAACCUGACAAGAUUUUAAAGGAAAUGUGUGUUAAUGUAGAGGGAAAAACAAAAUCCUGGAACUGAACCCAAGGUCCAUGAGCAUUCUGUUUGUUACUGAAUUCUAUUCUUGGACCUUUAGAAAAAGGAAACUGAAUGGCACAUGAAUAUUGGGGUGUCCUAAUCUUAGAUAAAAUGAGGCCAUAUGAAAUGAAGAUGAAACAACAUUAAAUCAAUUCCCAGUCGUGCAGGAGAGAAAGAAAUGUUGUGAACUUACCCAAAAUCCUAAAAAACACAAUGCAACAGCACAAAGCAAGAAGCCCUCCACACUUGUACUGAAUUCAGAAGGUAUUCAGUGUCUUCUGAAUGCAAUGAUAAAUGUUGAAAAAUACAUAAGGGAUGCCUAGAACUAAGUGGAAAAUCCUGAAGCACAGAUACAGCUCAGAAAAUCUGGCAGGAGACGAUUCUGUCCUUCUGAAAUCUGUCUUUUCCAGUGUAUUUCUCUUGAAAGGAGGAAUCUUUCCUGCCCAGCAGAGGAAUAAUCUGGUUUUGGCUUUUUUUCUCUAUUGCUGCUGUUAUCGCAGAGCCUUACGUACUUGGAACAACAAAACCGGUACAAGUCACGUGGCAAGAGGAUCGACGUGUCCAAGACAGCAGUUCUGAGGGUGAAGAGGAGCCCCAGAUGUCAGAAAUUGAAAAGGACUGAGAAAUGCAAGUUCCAUUGCUCUUUGUUGUCUCCUUGGCGGUAGUAGCUGGAUGCUGUGGCAAUAUUAACAGCAGCACUCAGCAAGUGGGAAACUGACAUUGCACGCCCCUGAAAGCCAUCUUGGAAAACCAUUUGUGCUGCACAGAGUCAAAACGCCCAGCAGGCCGUUUGCUGUGAAGUUGAAUGUGGAAAAAGAGAAGUAGAGCACAAGAAAUUUUCCGGGUCAUUUGGGUUUGACCAACUCCAAAUGGAGUUUGGCCAAAAGCCAAAGACACAGUCAGUUUUCUCUUUCAAAGUGGCUUUUGUAAAAUCAAAAGCUCUAUUUGGGUACUAGGGAAUAAAGUUUUUCAAUGUAUACAAUUUCUCUGAAGCACUACAGUUUCAAGUCAUGCGCAUGGAAUUUGAUAGUACAAUUUAGGAUGCUAAAAUCCCUUUGUACUUGUCUAGGUUUCUUUCUUUACCACACACAGAAAGUGCUAGAGUUUGCUUCUCCGACGAUGAUGAACGCCUAAGAGGUAGGACGGAAUUUCUUCAUCCCCUUUUGGAUUUCUUUCCCUUCUGAACCUUUCCUGGACUAGUUAUGAAUGUUUUCUAGCAAAAUUUGCCACCCUUACUUGUGGCCAAAAUAGUGGUGGAAUCCCAUGAGCACGUCCUGGUAAAAUAGAGGUCAAGCAGAUUUCUGGCUUACUUUUCUUUCAGAUAUUUGGCUAAUAGGAACCUGGACUUUUAGAGCUUAUCAAAAACUUAGUCACUUGACAGGUUACCUAGACAGUUUGGAUCCCUUCAGGUAUGUGUAGCAUCUUGAACUUUUUCCUGCCUUUCUUUCGGGUGUUACCAUCAGGAAUGUUGAGUUUGGCUUGUAUGUGCCUGUGGUUCUUUGUCCUCAUGAAUCUGGGGCUUUCUCUUCUGAAUCCAGUGAAUUUGGUGUUUAGAAACAAAGCAAACAACAACAAAAGGGAAAACACACAGUCCCCAAAACCUGCACAGGCCUCCAGAACAAUUGCUUGUUAUAUUUUGUAGAAUAUAUAGUCUUAAGACAGGCUCAAAGGCUGUGCCUUUCUUGAGACUGAUUAGGUAACUCUGAUGCAAGGUACUGCUGUGUUCAUGCAGUUACCGGCCUGCAAUCUCCCCGCCUGUCUGAUUUACAGGGUGUGUUGAAACGGAGAGCUCAGUCCUCAGCAGGCCUCAGUGCUGGGGAGGAUGCAGGGUCCUGGUGCUGAGCUUCUAAGGGAACGGCUGCUAUUUCUCUGCAAUUUAGAUUGCAGCAUGUUGAGGAGAACUGCUGCUGCCUUUCAUUGUUCUUAGUACACCAGGCUGCAGCAGGGAGCAUUUCUGUUGGAGCCAACGUGUGGUGGGGGGCAGGAGAACAGGAAGGAUGAGGAGAAUUGAUUUCUGACUUUCUUACUGCCCUGUUCAUGAUUGUUAGAAGCAGCAGCACAAUCAGAAGUGUUUAACCCUAUUAAUUGGUUGUUUGUUUUGUGCACAGGAGCCAAAGUUAUUUUGUAGAUUACUAGAGCUCAGUGAAGAGAAAGAGGGUUAGGAAGACAGACUUAGAUUAUUGCUAGAGGUGAGUAUGGAACGUCUGUUCCCUGGUAGCUCUAGGCGAAAGCUGAGCAUGGGGAGGGAAUGCAGGUAUGAAUGUGCAUGCCAAAUUAAUUUGGGACCUCAAGAAGAGCUUGAAACUUUUUAUUGACCAGGAAACAAAAGCUUUGUAGUCUACCGCUGUGUAUAACGCCCUGUUGUAUUGUCCAGUAAUGUAAAGCACGGCAUCUCUGUAUUUUACAGGAGCAGCACCUUAACUAUCUGUAAGGAAUGUAUUUAAGAGAUAGAGAGAAUUUAGAGACUUCUCUUAAUAGUGGAAUAGGAAACUUCUCCGAAGACUUUGUUAGAUUUUCAUUAUAUUCUGGAACGCCGAAGGAAGCAUAAGGAUACCAAAUAGAAAGUGCAAGCAAACCAAUAAACCUUUUACUGAUUGGAA